UACGAAGGGGGCUAGCGUUGCUCGGAAUCACUGGGCGUAAAGCGCACGUAGGCGGGUUGCUAAGUCGGGGGUGAAAUCCUGGAGCUCAACUCCAGAACUGCCUUCGAUACUGGCGACCUAGAGUCCGGGAGAGGUGGAGUGGAACUCCGAGUGUAGAGGUGAAAUUCGUAGAUAUUCGGAAGAACACCAGUGGCGAAGGCGGACUCACUGGCCCGGUACUGGACGCUGAGGUGCGGAAAGCCAGGGGAGCAAAG
rnacentral:rRNA from 1 species